UCNUGCCUUGGGANGGAAACCCCCCGGGUANCUGGGGCUAAUUUCCGAUAGGUGAAGGCUCCUGGAAUGGAUCUUCGCCUAAAGGGCGCUUAGGCCAUGCUUCUAGGCGCUGCCCAAGGAUGGGGCCGCGGCCGAUCAGGUUGUUGGUGAGGUAAUGGCUCACCAAGCCUUUAACCGGUUCGGGCCGUGGGAGCGGGAGCCCGGAGAUGGGCACUGAGACAAGGGCCCAGGCCCUACGGGGCGCAGCAGUCGCGAAAACUCCGCAAUACGCGAAGGCGUGACGGGGCUAUCCCGAGUGCCGUCCGCUGAGGAUGACUUUUCCCCAGUGUAGAUAGCUGGGGGAAUAAGGAGAGGGCAAGUCUGGUGUCAGCCGCCGCGGUAAUACCAGCUCUCCGAGUGGUGGGGACGUUUAUUGGGCCUGAAGCAUCCGUAGCCAGCUGAGCAAGUCCCCAGUUAAAUCCAGCGAUUUAAUCGUUGGACUGCUGGGGAUACUGUCCGGCUAGGGGGUGGGAGAGGCCGACGGUAUUCCCGGGGUAGGGGUGAAAUCCUAUAAUCCCGGGAGGACCACCAGUGGCGAANGCUGUUGGCUAGAACAUGCCCGACGGUGAGGGAUGAAAGCUGGGGGAGCGAACCGGAUUAGAUACCCGGGUAGUCCCAGCUGUAAACGAUGCANGCUAGGUGUUAGGGCGGCCACGUGCCNCUCUANUGCCGCAGGGAA
rnacentral:rRNA from 1 species